AGAUUGCAGGCUGCAACUCGCCUGCAUGAAGUCGGAAUUGCUAGUAAUCGUAGGUCAGCAUACUACGGUGAAUACGUUCCCGGGCCUUGUACACACCGCCCGUCACACCAUGAGAGUUGGGAAUACCCGAAGCCUGUGAGCUAACUUUUUAGAGGCAGCAGUCGAAGGUAGAAUCAAUGAUUGGGGUGAAGUCGUAACAAGGUAAC
rnacentral:rRNA from 1 species